AGACCCGCUGACAAGUUCAGCCGGAGGGACCUCCCCUGCUGUGCCGGCGGGAGAAACACGCAGGCGGAAGGGACCCGGGGCGAGCGGCCGGGAUGCGCGGGGAAGACCGGCUUGGCCUGGCAGGGCGACGACCAGGCGCGCUGCUCUGCCUGCUCUCUCGGCUCCCGCCUCCCCUUGACCGCCCUCCUCCGCUGGAGCUUUCUUACACCGUCCUGGAACACCAAAGUUUCCCGGAGCUUCGCGCUCUACUCCCCUGCAGGCGCCUCCCUCCUCUUCUCGGGAACGAACUUGCCAUCAGCACCCGUUCGUAGGAGGGUGUGCGGGUGGAAAGGACACGUUCCAGAAUCCGAAGACCAGGAACAGAGAAGCAGGAGCCCUGGCAGAAGCGUCCAAAGAUUGUCCUGUGAAGUGUGAUGGGACAGCCUCCUUUCAGCGGCUCUGAAAAGCGGAGACAGGAAAACCGCGGGUCCCGCCAAGGUCACAGGAUCAGAAUCCGGAGCCACGCCACUCCCGGACACUGGGGAUCAUCCGAUCACGCAGAACGGGAUUUUGCAGGAGCCACUGCCCUGGCGCAUGGAGGCAGCGGCCCUGGGCAGAGGGGCAAGCUCCCCUCCCAUCCGUGCCCACCGAGGACUUGGCAAAGGACCUGGGGACACAUGCCCUGACCAUCCAUCCUGCAGGGAGGGGCCUCUGCCUUUGGCCUGUGGGCCGCCAUUUCUGCUCUUGUCACACCCCGUGCCUGCUCCCGGGCUGAGGCACUCGGACCAGGCCUCCGGCAAACAGAAGCCCUUUGCCGUCCAUAUGUCCGCCCCAGAGGACCGAGGGCAGUGGUCUGCGAGGUGGCCAAAGUAUGGGGCUCCAGACUUGGAGGAGUUAACAGCUCCCUCUCUCCAGCUGUCCUCCCCUCGGUGCUCCUCUUGCGCCCUCCUCCCGCUCACAGCAGGCCGGGCCUGGGCCUGGGAGCCGGUGGCGCGGUGCCGGCUGCGCGCUGCGCCGUUGCCAGGGGCGCGGGGAGGCGGAUCUGAGCUAUGCAGGGAAAAGGCCCGGCCUGUCAAAGUGUCUGAGAUGAACCGCCGCCGUCCCCUGUGCAGCUGGGCUCAGACGUGUCUCGGCUCUUGUUCUGUGCCUGAGAAUGGCGAAGCCCAGUGAGGUUCAAGGGCACACUCACUAUUCAUUAGUCAGGGGUUCUUGACGUCCAGUCUCUCCCAGGGAUGGGAUUCCCCCCCUUCCUCUCUCUCUCCCUCCUGUGACACAUUCCUGGGUGCCUUUGGAGGACUGCACCCUUCUCUUCCUCCUACCCAACCUCCUCUCCACAGGCCCCUAAAUACACUCCCCCCAAGGAGACCAGGCAGGGCAGAGACAAUGGCCACAGGAAACCAUUCAGGCGGGACUCCAGCCAUGCUGGCCCGCCCUCUGCUCCCAGCACCCUUGUGGCCCCCACUCCCCUGUGACUCAGGGUCCCCCUGGGCCACCAGCAAUGCACAAGCCCAGACAGAGGAAGCCACUGGGCACUGCCGUUGGGACAACAGGCCCCUUCUGGGCGGGCUCCCGGAUCGCAUACAGCUGGCUAUUUGGGGGCUUUUCUCUACCAUCCGUGUGUCUAUUUUGAGACGCUCUCAAACACUGUUGGCUGGAAAAUGUAAAUUAUACAGUAUUUUCUGAAAUGUGGCAUUAUCACAAUGUAAAAGACAUAUAUACUUAGCUGAAAACAAAUUGCACUGCUAGGAAUUCACCCUAUGGUUAUACAUGCAAAAAUUCCCCAAGAAGUCUGUACAAGGCUGUUCGUCAGAGCAUGUCUCUUUAAGAAUGUAAGACAAGGGAAAUGGACCUGUGGUCCGGUCAUACUGAGGAAUAUUAGACAGCCGGAAAAAUCACUGCAGCAGAGCCCCGUAUAUAAGCUGAUCUGGGAGGUUGGCCAGUGUAUGUGUUGCAUGAGGAGAAUAAACUGCACAACAGGUAAUAGAGCACGAUCCUAUUUGUGUAUAUUGAAAAGUCAGUCUUAAGUAUGCUUCUAUAUGAAGGGUUUCUGGAAAUGUAUAUUGGAAGUCUGGGGAGUGGGGAUGGACGGAUGCCCCCUUCGGUACUGUUAUGUUUCUUUUCCAUGCUCGUGGAAUAUUUGUAUUGAAACUUUUAAAGAGGCCGUUUCAUAUAAUAGGAUUAACUUCUGCUGACCAACAUUAGGGUAGAACUCUAAGAGGACGCUGGUGAUGUCGCAGGAAAAAACGUCCCGGAAACUGUGCCAUUGGCAGGGCUGAUGAUCACACAUCAUCGUCAUGGCUGCUACUGUUAAUUAAACACCUACUAAGUGCAGGGCUUAA